CAAGGUCUCCGUUGGUGAACCAGCGGAGGGAUCAUUACUGAGUUUACGCUCUACAACCCUUUGUGAACAUACCUAUAACUGUUGCUUCGGCGGGUAGGGUCUCCGUGACCCUCCCGGCCUCCCGCCCCCGGGCGGGUCGGCGCCCGCCGGAGGAUAACCAAACUCUGAUUUAACGACGUUUCUUCUGAGUGGUACAAGCAAAUAAUCAAAACUUUUAACAACGGAUCUCUUGGUUCUGGCAUCGAUGAAGAACGCAGCGAAAUGCGAUAAGUAAUGUGAAUUGCAGAAUUCAGUGAAUCAUCGAAUCUUUGAACGCACAUUGCGCCCGCCAGCAUUCUGGCGGGCAUGCCUGUUCGAGCGUCAUUUCAACCCUCAAGCUCUGCUUGGUGUUGGGGCCCUACAGCUGAUGUAGGCCCUCAAAGGUAGUGGCGGACCCUCCCGGAGCCUCCUUUGCGUAGUAACUUUACGUCUCGCACUGGGAUCCGGAGGGACUCUUGCCGUAAAACCCCCCAAUUUUCCAAAGGUUGACCUCGGAUCAGGUAGGAAUACCCGCUGAACUUAAGCA
rnacentral:rRNA from 1 species